rnacentral:rRNA from 1 species
AUACGUAGGGAGCGAGCGUUGUCCGGAAUCACUGGGCGUAAAGCGCACGUAGGCGGCUUGGUAAGUCAGGGGUGAAAUCCCACAGCCCAACUGUGGAACUGCCUUUGAUACUGCCAGGCUUGAGUACCGGAGAGGGUGGCGGAAUUCCAGGUGUAGGAGUGAAAUCCGUAGAUAUCUGGAGGAACACCGGUGGCGAAGGCGGCCACCUGGACGGUAACUGACGCUGAGGUGCGAAAGCGUGGGUAGCAAACAGGAUUAGAUACCCUGGUAGCCCACGCUGUAAACGAUGGGUGCUGGGUGCUGGGAUGUAUGUCUCGGUGCCGUAGCUAACGCGAUAAGCACCCCGCCUGGGGAGUACGGUCGCAAGGCUGAAACUCAAAUGAAUUGACGGGG